UACGGAGGGUGCAAGCGUUAUCCGGAUUCACUGGGUUUAAAGGGUGCGUAGGUGGGUUGGUAAGUCAGUGGUGAAAUCUCCGGGCUUAACUCGGAAACUGCCGUUGAUACUAUCAAUCUUGAAUGUUGUGGAGGUAAGCGGAAUAUGUCAUGUAGCGGUGAAAUGCUUAGAUAUGACAUAGAACACCGAUAGCGAAGGCAGCUUGCUACACAAUAAUUGACACUGAGGCACGAAAAGCGUGGGGAUCAAAACAGGAUUAGAAAACCCC
rnacentral:rRNA from 1 species